rnacentral:tRNA from 6 species
AAAAUUCGUUGGCUUUAUAGACCGUGAGGGUUCAAGU